CCUACGGGAGGCUGCAGUGGGGAAUAUUGGACAAUGGGCGAAAGCCUGAUCCAGCCAUGCCGCGUGUGUGAAGAAGGCCUUCGGGUUGUAAAGCACUUUCAGUGGGGAAGAAAGCCUUGGGGCUAAUACCCUCGAGGAAGGACAUCACCCACAGAAGAAGCACCGGCUAACUCCGUGCCAGCAGCCGCGGUAAUACGGAGGGUGCGGGCGUUAAUCGGAAUUACUGGGCGUAAAGCGCGCGUAGGCGGUCUGAUAAGCCGGUUGUGAAAGCCCCGGGCUCAACCUGGGAACGGCAUCCGGAACUGUCAGGCUAGAGUGCAGGAGAGGAAGGUAGAAUUCCCGGUGUAGCAGUGAAAUGCGUAGAGAUCGGGAGGAAUACCAGUGGCGAAGGCGGCCUUCUGGACUGACACUGACGCUGAGGUGCGAAAGCGUGGGUAGCAAACAGGAUUAGAUACCCCUGUAGUC
rnacentral:rRNA from 1 species